GUUCCUGUGACCUAAGGAAUAAGGCAUUGAAUUCCGAAUCUAAAAACUGUGGGUUCGCGUCCCACCGGGAACA